GCUGGAAACCAAGGAAAAGUUCAAUGACCUCUCUUUAACUCUCUCUUAUUCGUUCUGCGUGUUUUUGGGUAUCAGCUGAGCUCAUUCUGGCCAUGUAAAGGAAUGAGAGGAAAGCGUUGAUGUUCGGGAGUGGCAAGGAGUGGAAUGACUGGUAGCCAGGCUAAUAGGCUUGGGUAGCCACAUCUGAGAUGAUCCUCACCCACUACAUCAUCCUCUCCUCAAGCUCUUCAGCGCCAAAUCUCUUCUAACGUACAUAAGAGGCUUCCCUGAUCAACGGAACAAUGGAUACCCAAAACAGGGGCCAUCCAUUAUUGAACCAAAAGAGCAAAACUACUCAAUCAACAGUACAGACUGAAUACCGACUGGAAUACCGCGACUCUCAAAAUCAGCUACCAAAAUGCUGUCACUGUCGAACGUUAAGCUUUUUCAGACACCUGAACAAUUGCUUCAAACUCUACGAAAUGUAGAACUUGGGGAUUCUUGAGUAUGCAAAAUAACUUUUGAGGAUCCCUUGAUCUUCAAUGCUUCAGAGAAGUUUCUCUUCUACUUGAAAUGCAAGGUGAAUCACAACCUCACUCUUCACUCUUCUAGUGAGUUAUAGUUCUCAUUAGAGGCAAGAUCUUCUCUAUGAAUACCGUAUUAAGCGUUGACAAAACAUGGCCAGCAUGGGCUCCACCUCCAUCUGGACCUUCAAACAAAAGUUGACAGAAAGCCAGAGUUGCCAAUUAACACAGAAUUAUGUUAUUUACUCCCCAGUUAUCGCUCUCCAAACAGAACAAUGAGGAUCAGCGGUUCAGGCCGACCCACGCUCCGGUUUCAUGUUUCUGCUGCGAGGCCCAGUUUGUGUGAGCGUAAUCCUUGAUAAAGCAGCUUUUUACAAAACACAAAGAGCGAUGCUGGAGCCAGUGACCUCAUCACCAGAUAAAAGUGUGGAACAAACAAUUUUCCCCUAUGAGGCAAACUGGUGUCUGGUGUUAUAUCAGGGAGAGGUUUUUUCCAUCCUUGCGAUGAGUGCUGUGAAAACAUGACUUCACCUGAGAGUCAAAUGGGACUAUCAUAUCUUGGAUGUAGGAUUGGUGUAUACUGUUGGUUUGAAUGACUGUUGCUUGUUGAAGAGAUACUUCUGUUCAAAGGCUGCAUUCAAAAACACACAUUGUAUUAAGAUCCAAUAAAAAAUACAUUUCACAA